rnacentral:rRNA from 1 species
UUAAAUUGAAGAGUUUGAUCAUGGCUCAGAUUGAACGCUGGCGGCAGGCCUAACACAUGCAAGUCGAACGGUAACAGGAAGCAGCUUGCUGCUUCGCUGACGAGUGGCGGACGGGUGAGUAAUGUCUGGGAAACUGCCUGAUGGAGGGGGAUAACUACUGGAAACGGUGGCUAAUACCGCAUAACGUCGCAAGACCAAAGAGGGGGACCUUCGGGCCUCUUGCCAUCAGAUGUGCCCAGAUGGGAUUAGCUUGUUGGUGAGGUAACGGCUCACCAAGGCGACGAUCCCUAGCUGGUCUGAGAGGAUGACCAGCCACACUGGAACUGAGACACGGUCCAGACUCCUACGGGAGGCAGCAGUGGGGAAUAUUGCACAAUGGGCGCAAGCCUGAUGCAGCCAUGCCGCGUGUAUGAAGAAGGCCUUCGGGUUGUAAAGUACUUUCAGCGGGGAGGAAGGUGUUGUGGUUAAUAACCGCAGCAAUUGACGUUACCCGCAGAAGAAGCACCGGCUAACUCCGUGCCAGCAGCCGCGGUAAUACGGAGGGUGCGAGCGUUAAUCGGAAUUACUGGGCGUAAAGCGCACGCAGGCGGUCUGUCAAGUCGGAUGUGAAAUCCCCGGGCUCAACCUGGGAACUGCAUUCGAAACUGGCAGGCUUGAGUCUUGUAGAGGGGGGUAGAAUUCCAGGUGUAGCGGUGAAAUGCGUAGAGAUCUGGAGGAAUACCGGUGGCGAAGGCGGCCCCCUGGACAAAGACUGACGCUCAGGUGCGAAAGCGUGGGGAGCAAACAGGAUUAGAUACCCUGGUAGUCCACGCCGUAAACGAUGUCUACUUGGAGGUUGUGCCCUUGAGGCGUGGCUUCCGGAGCUAACGCGUUAAGUAGACCGCCUGGGGAGUACGGCCGCAAGGUUAAAACUCAAAUGAAUUGACGGGGGCCCGCACAAGCGGUGGAGCAUGUGGUUUAAUUCGAUGCAACGCGAAGAACCUUACCUGGUCUUGACAUCCACGGAAGUUUUCAGAGAUGAGAAUGUGCCUUCGGGAACCGUGAGACAGGUGCUGCAUGGCUGUCGUCAGCUCGUGUUGUGAAAUGUUGGGUUAAGUCCCGCAACGAGCGCAACCCUUAUCCUUUGUUGCCAGCGGUCCGGCCGGGAACUCAAAGGAGACUGCCAGUGAUAAACUGGAGGAAGGUGGGGAUGACGUCAAGUCAUCAUGGCCCUUACGACCAGGGCUACACACGUGCUACAAUGGCGCAUACAAAGAGAAGCGACCUCGCGAGAGCAAGCGGACCUCAUAAAGUGCGUCGUAGUCCGGAUUGGAGUCUGCAACUCGACUCCAUGAAGUCGGAAUCGCUAGUAAUCGUGGAUCAGAAUGCCACGGUGAAUACGUUCCCGGGCCUUGUACACACCGCCCGUCACACCAUGGGAGUGGGUUGCAAAAGAAGUAGGUAGCUUAACCUUCGGGAGGGCGCUUACCACUUUGUGAUUCAUGACUGGGGUGAAGUCGUAACAAGGUAACCGUAGGGGAACCUGCGGUUGGAUCACCUCCUUACCUUAAAGAAGC